UACGUAGGGGGCAAGCGUUGUCCGGAAUCACUGGGCGUAAAGGGCGCGUAGGCGGCUCAUGAAGGCUGUGGUGAAAGUCCGGGGCUCAACCUCGGAUCGGCCGUGGCGACUCGUGGGCUGGAGCACUGUAGAGGCGGGUGGAAUUCCGGGUGGUAGCGGUGGGAAUGCGUAGAGAUCCGGAAGAACACCAGUGGCGAAGGCGGCCCGCGUGGGCAGUGGCUGACGCUGAAGCGCGACAGCGUGGGGAGCAAACAGG
rnacentral:rRNA from 1 species